rnacentral:rRNA from 1 species
UGUUUCUGAUUCCUUCGGGAUGAUGAGACAGACGGAAAGUGGCGAACGGGUGAGUAACGCGUGGGUAAUCUACCCUGUGAGUGGGGAAUAACCCUCCGAAAGGAGGGCUAAUACCGCAUGAUGUCCCUCCCUCAUAAGAGGAGGGGAUGAAAGAUGGCCUCUGUUUAUGCUAUCGCUUCAGGAUGAGCCCGCGUCCUAUUAGUUUGUUGGUGGGGUAAUGGCCUACCAAGACCACCAUGGGUAGCCGGUCUGAGAGGAUGUACGGCCACACUGGGACUGAGAUACGGCCCAGACUUCUACGGAAGGCAGCAGUGGGGAAUAUUGCGCAAUGGGGGCAACCCUGACGCAGCGACGCCGCGUGGACGAUGAAGGCCUUCGGGUUGUAAAGUCCUGUUUUGGGGGAAGAAACCUUCAGGGUCCAAUAGACCCUGGAAUUGACGGUACCCCAAGAGAAAGCUCCGGCUAACUAUGUGCCAGCAGCCGCGGUAAUACAUAAGGAGCAAGCGUUGUCCGGAAU